rnacentral:rRNA from 1 species
UACGUAGGGCGCAAGCGUUGUCCGGAAUUAUUGGGCGUAAAGAGCUCGUAGGCGGUUUGUCGCGUCUGUCGUGAAAGCUUGGGGCUUAACCCCAAGUCUGCGGUGGAUACGGGCAGACUAGAGGCAGGUAGGGGAGAACGGAAUUCCCGGUGUAGCGGUGAAAUGCGUAGAUAUCGAGAGGAACACCUGCGGCGAAGGCGGGUUGCUGGGCUGACACUGACGCUGAAGCGCGAAAGCUAGGGGAGCGAACGGG